rnacentral:ncRNA from 1 species
UUAACGAUGCAGGUACCCGCAAGGGUCUCACAGAGAAUCCGGUUAAAUACCGGAGCGGUCACGCCGCUGUAAGGAUGAGCAAAUCGUGAAAGCCAUUGGGAAUAUAUCCUGAGAAGGUACGAUAGGCAAGGAAUCCGAGCCAGAAGAACUGCCUGCAUG